UGAACGCUAGCUACAGGCUUAACACAUGCAAGUCGAGGGGCAGCAUGGUCUUAGCUUGCUAAGGCCGAUGGCGACCGGCGCACGGGUGAGUAACACGUAUCCAACCUGCCGUCUACUCUUGGACAGCCUUCUGAAAGGAAGAUUAAUACAAGAUGGCAUCAUGAGUCCGCAUGUUCACAUGAUUAAAGGUAUUCCGGUAGACGAUGGGGAUGCGUUCCAUUAGAUAGUAGGCGGGGUAACGGCCCACCUAGUCUUCGAUGGAUAGGGGUUCUGAGAGGAAGGUCCCCCACAUUGGAACUGAGACACGGUCCAAACUCCUACGGGAGGCAGCAGUGAGGAAUAUUGGUCAAUGGGCGAGAGCCUGAACCAGCCAAGUAGCGUGAAGGAUGACUGCCCUAUGGGUUGUAAACUUCUUUUAUAAAGGAAUAAAGUCGGGUAUGGAUACCCGUUUGCAUGUACUUUAUGAAUAAGGAUCGGCUAACUCCGUGCCAGCAGCCGCGGUAAUACGGAGGAUCCGAGCGUUAUCCGGAUUUAUUGGGUUUAAAGGGAGCGUAGAUGGAUGUUUAAGUCAGUUGUGAAAGUUUGCGGCUCAACCGUAAAAUUGCAGUUGAUACUGGAUAUCUUGAGUGCAGUUGAGGCAGGCGGAAUUCGUGGUGUGGCGGUGAAAUGCUUAGAUAUCACGAAGAACUCCGAUUGCGAAGGCAGCCUGCUAAGCUGCAACUGACAUUGAGGCUCGAAAGUGUGGGUAUCAAACAGGAUUAGAUACCCUGGUAGUCCACACGGUAAACGAUGAAUACUCGCUGUUUGCGAUAUACGGCAAGCGGCCAAGCGAAAGCGUUAAGUAUUCCACCUGGGGAGUACGCCGGCAACGGUGAAACUCAAAGGAAUUGACGGGGGCCCGCACAAGCGGAGGAACAUGUGGUUUAAUUCGAUGAUACGCGAGGAACCUUACCCGGGCUUAAAUUGCAGAUGAAUUACGGUGAAAGCCGUAAGCCGCAAGGCAUCUGUGAAGGUGCUGCAUGGUUGUCGUCAGCUCGUGCCGUGAGGUGUCGGCUUAAGUGCCAUAACGAGCGCAACCCUUGUUGUCAGUUACUAACAGGUUCCGCUGAGGACUCUGACAAGACUGCCAUCGUAAGAUGUGAGGAAGGUGGGGAUGACGUCAAAUCAGCACGGCCCUUACGUCCGGGGCUACACACGUGUUACAAUGGGGGGUACAGAGGGCCGCUACCACGCGAGUGGAUGCCAAUCCCCAAAACCUCUCUCAGUUCGGACUGGAGUCUGCAACCCGACUCCACGAAGCUGGAUUCGCUAGUAAUCGCGCAUCAGCCACGGCGCGGUGAAUACGUUCCCGGGCCUUGUACACACCGCCCG
rnacentral:rRNA from 1 species